CCGAAUGGGGAAACCCGGCCACUUUAGUGGUCAUCUGCACCUGAAUACAUAGGGUGUAGAAGCGAACCUGGAGAACUGAACCAUCUAAGUACCCAGAGGAAAAGAAAUCAACCGAGAUUCCCUUAGUAGCGGCGAGCGAAAGGGGACUAGCCAGUAAUCUUUAUCUUAGACGUCAGAGGAACGGUCUGGAAAGUCCGGCAAUACAAGGUGAUAGCCCUGUACUCGAAAGCGUUUUUGAAGAACUAAGUUUACAACAAGUAGGUCGGAGCACGUGAAACUUUGACUGAAGACGGGGGGACCAUCCUCCAAGGCUAAAU
rnacentral:rRNA from 1 species